GCUCCAGACAGCACGUAGUCCUUGUGAAGCCAUACAGGUGAUGUGGACCAUGAAGCUGCUCCAGACAGCACGUAGUCCUUGUGAAGCCAUACAGGUGAUGUGGACCAUGAAGCUGCUCCAGACAGCACGUAGUCCUUGUGAAGCCAUACAGGUGAUGUGGACCAUGAAGCUGCUCCAGACAGCACGUAGUCCUUGUGAAGCCAUACAGGUGAUGUGGACCAUGAAGCUGCUCCAGACAGCACGUAGUCCUUGUGAAGCCAUACAGGUGAUGUGGACCAUGAAGCUGCUCCAGACAGCACGUAGUCCUUGUGAAGCCAUACAGGUGAUGUGGACCAUGAAGCUGCUCCAGA